AUUGAACGCUGGCGGCAGGCCUAACACAUGCAAGUCGAACGGUAACAGGAAGAAGCUUGCUUCUUUGCUGACGAGUGGCGGACGGGUGAGUAAUGUCUGGGAAACUGCCUGAUGGAGGGGGAUAACUACUGGAAACGGUAGCUAAUACCGCAUAACGUCGCAAGACCAAAGAGGGGGACCUUCGGGCCUCUUGCCAUCGGAUGUGCCCAGAUGGGAUUAGCUAGUAGGUGGGGUAACGGCUCACCUAGGCGACGAUCCCUAGCUGGUCUGAGAGGAUGACCAGCCACACGGGAACUGAGACACGGUCCAGACUCCUACGGGAGGCAGCAGUGGGGAAUAUUGCACAAUGGGCGCAAGCCUGAUGCAGCCAUGCCGCGUGUAUGAAGAAGGCCUUCGGGUUGUAAAGUACUUUCAGCGGGGAGGAAGGGUGUAAAGUUAAUACCUUUGCUCAUUGACGUUACCCGCAGAAGAAGCACCGGCUAACUCCGUG
rnacentral:rRNA from 1 species